rnacentral:tRNA from 4 species
GCGCGUGUAGCUCAGUUCGGUUAGAGCACGCCUCUGAUAAGGGCGAGGUCCUAGGUUCGAAUCCUAGCACGCGCA